rnacentral:tRNA from 1 species
AAUAAUGUCAGCUAAGCAAGCUCCCGGGCCCAUGCCCCGGCAAUGUUGGUUAAAUUCCUUCCAUUAUUA